rnacentral:rRNA from 1 species
AUGAUCCGGCUUGGGCUGGGGUUGGCAUAUCUCUUGGUUCUGUUCCAGGUCCGUUUGUGCUAUGGAUUAAUAGUAUGCCAUCUUCAUACUCCACUUCAGGGGUUCGACGCCAUUGUCUCGCUGCGUGUAAGCCACGCAGAGAGGACGUUCCGAUCCAAAUCAUGCAGGUGGUCCUACAUCGGCGGCGUGGUGCGACCCGAGGGGUGGCUCGCGUGGGACAAAAACCAGACCACGCUCACCACGCUCUACUACGCAAAGUACAUGAACACGGGCUCCAACGCUGGCGUCGACGGCAGGGUGAGUUGGUCGGGCUACCACUUGAAUAUGAGCCAGGCCAAGGCCAAUAACUUCACCAUGGCGCAGUUCAUCUACGACAACAUGUUGCUACCGGCCACGAGCGUUGGGUUCACAUCUAGACUGCUUGCGUCUUGA